rnacentral:tRNA from 1 species
GCCGGAGUAGCUCAGUUGGUAGAGCAAUGCUUUCGUAAAGCAGAGGUCGCGAGUCCGACUCUCGCCUCCGGCU